rnacentral:ribozyme from 11 species
AUUUCUGCAGGUGUCUUCUUUAUGGUAGUGACCUUUUUUUUAUUUGUUUUUUCCUGUUCUUUUAAUAUUUCUUUAAAUGUAAGAUUUGGUGCCGCAAGUACCGGCUGAAGAGGCCUGCCUUUAC